AAACAUCGAUUGCACUAUACACUCCAUAUCCGCCCGGGAAUUAUGAACAUCAGUUUAAAACCCAAAGGACUUGGCGGUGCUUAACAUCCACCUAGAGGAGCCUGUUCUAGAACCGAUAACCCCCGUUAAACCUCACCUUCUCUUGUUUUAUCCGCCUAUAUACCACCGUCGUCAGCUUACCCUGUGAAGGCUUUACAGUAAGCAAAAUUGGCACAGCCCAAAACGUCAGGUCGAGGUGUAGUGAAUGAGGAGGGAAGAAAUGGGCUACAUUUGCUAAACAUAGCAAACACGAAUGUUGCAUUGAAACAUGUAACUGAAGGAGGAUUUAGCAGUAAGCAGGAAAUAGAGCGUCCC
rnacentral:rRNA from 1 species